rnacentral:misc_RNA from 1 species
CAGCUUGCGUUUAAAAAGCUUGCAACUGCAACACUUGAAACACUGAUGCCGAGAAUAGAAGGGAAGGGGGAAUUUGGUAAUGCUAGAUGGAGGCUGGUGUACGCCCCACAGAUUCCUAGUUUACUUUCUGUCGAUCCUAAAGUUGAUCCUCUGAAAUCUUUGGCCAACAGCAUUUCAUUUGGUACAGAAGUUGAGGUGCAGCUUGGGAAACACCUUCAGGCGUCUAUUGUAAGGCAGAUGAAGGACUCAGAAAUGGCCAUGCAAUGGACUUUGAUUUACCAGCUUACAAGCCGCUUGCGAGUGCUCCUACAAUCUGCUCCUUCCAAACGCCUCCUUUUUGGAUAUUCUGCUACGACCCACGACUAAUUAAUUAGUCACUGCCGCCAUUUGUUGGCUGGUCUACAUUGGAACAGAUGAGUGGUGAUUGUGGUCAGUGAAUGUUGUGGCAUAUGCCUGUGCAUAUCAAUUUUAGUAAAAUCUAGUUGCAAAUAAAACAAGAAAAAAAUACAUAAAUGUAUAAUUAGAUAGAUUGAUGUAUUGUGAUUAUUCUUUUGCUCAGAAAUGAAUGAACUUGUCCAUAUGUUUGACAUUAUUGAAAAGGCAAAUCAAUGAAAUCAAAUUUGUAAAUAGUGGAACAUUUUGACAAAUAUAACUGGAA